GAUCUGUUCAUUCAGCCAGUUAUGCUUUCAUUCACUGAACAGACAUAGAUUGUCUACUAUGUGCCAGAGACUGUUCUAGAUGCUGGGGACAGAGGUUGAUUUGAUAAUCUGCAUGAUUUGAACAUCCUAAUUUGGUCUGUGAGCCUCUGUUCCAUGACAGAACAGCUUGCCUGGUACUUGGAGAUUCCCAUCGUGUUGAGAAUCCUGUAGACUGGCCACGCUGCAAACUCCCUGCAGGAGGCCUCCAGGGAGCACCAGCCCUGCUGCUCCCUCAAGUUCCCUGGGAUUUUUACUAAGAAUCACUUGUGUCUGGUCUCAAAUAUGUUUAUGACAUUUGUAUUUGUUACUGUAAUUUUGUAUUUUAAUUAAAUAUUAUGUAAUCAAAAUAAUGAGUGGCAAAAGCUUCUAUAUGAACUAAGGAUGAAUACUUUGCAAAUACUCGAUAAAGGCAUGUUGUUAAAAAAUGAGUACUGUCUGAUUAGGUAUAUACAAUAGGCCAUUCUUGCAUUGCUAUGAAGAAAUAUCUGAGACUGGGUAAUUUAUAAAGAAAAGAGGUUUAAUUGGCUCACGAUUCUGCAAGCUGUACAGGAAGCAUGGUUCUGGCAUCUAUUUGGCUUCUGGGGAAACCUCAGGUAGCUUACAAUUAUGGCAGAAGGCGAAGGAGGGGCUGGCAUCCCACGUGGUGAGAGGGAGUGUAGGGGAGAGGGAGAGAAAGACAGAGAGUGCGAGAGAGAAAGUAUGAACACAUUUCUAAACAAUCAGAUUUCCUGAGAACCCACUCAUAGCAACAAGACAUGAUGGAUCUGCCCCCAUUACCCAAACACCUCCCACCAGGCCCCGCCUCCAACACUAGGGAUCACAAUUCAACAUGAGAUUUCACGGGGACAUAUAUUCAAACCAUAUCAGUUUAGUUAUCCCUCUUUCUAACCCUUUUUUUUUUUUUUGAGACGGAGUCUUACACUGUUGCCCAGGCUGCAGUGCAGUGGUGCGAUCUCGGUGCUCGCUGCAACCUCUGCCUCCCGGGCUCAAGCAACUCUCCUGCCUCAGCCUCCAGAGUAAUUGGGACUACAGGCUCACGCCACCACGCCUGGCUAAUUUUUGUAUUUUAGUAGAGACGGGGUUUCACCAUGUUGGCCAGGCUGGUCUUGAACUCCUGACCUCACGUGAUCUGCCUAUCUCAGCCUCCCAAAGUGCUGGGAUUACAAGCAUGAGCCACCGCGCACCCAGACUCUACCCCUCUUUUUAAAGAAAAAAAAAAAGUUGUCCUUCCUCUUCCCAGGGUUAGACAUUUACCAUCAAAAUUUAGAUAACAGCUUUAAACGAAUACACACACACACGCAUACAAACACAGUAGGGAGCAGUGAAAAAUAUCUUAUUUUAAGUAUUUCUUAGGUAUAGCUUUAUAGUAGUAAUUAUGGCUGAUACAACAACUCUUAUAAAUACCUUUAUUUAUAAUUUUUCCCUUUGUAGAAUAGCUGACUUCAAUUGCUAAAUCUCAUAUCACCAUAACUCCCAACUGAGCCUUCAGUACAACCUCCUAGACUUGCAUUUUAAUGUUCACCAUGAUUACCAAGGCAAUAAAAGAUGCUGAAGUGAAUUCUACAGUCAUCAAAAAAAAUUAAUUAUACUUAAUAUACUACUGAUUUUAUUUGUUGUGUUCUGAUUCUUUGAAAAUAAUUGGUAAACCAUAUGUGUUUAAUGUAAUAGCUUUCUACUAACCAGAAUAUUUAAUAAGCCAAAACAUUGAUUUUCCCACCAUCUUGGAAAACCAAAUUUAAUGUCUUCAAUACAUAACAAAGUUGAAGUUGAUGACAUUAUUGUGCCAUAGGUAUUUGUUAAGCUCCACUUCCUCUCCAGAAAGAAGCCUGAGGGGUUUUCUUGCUUUAAAGCAGAGUACAUUUGGGAUCCUGAAAUUUCAAACCAGCUAAUGAAUUUGAGGCUCUGUGUUUAUUCCAGAAAAUAAAAUCACUUUGUUUAAAAU